rnacentral:misc_RNA from 1 species
ACAAACUUGGUCAUUUAGAGGAAGUAAAAGUCGUAACAAGGUUUCCGUAGGUAAGUUGAAAAAAAAAGCCUUUUCAAUUCUCCCCAUAAUACAUAAUAUGCUGACCCUCUAAUCUUAGGUGAACCUGCGGAAGGAUCAUUAUCGAGUGUGAAUCCCCCCCGUAAAAAAGGGGGGGUUACCUCCCGUCCUUUGUUGGGCAUACCCUAUUUCAUUAGAAGGGGGUUUGCUUUUGAGACCCUUUCUGCUUCGGCGGGGUUACCUGCCGAAACAACCUCAAAAAUUCUAAGUCAAAACGGUUCAGUCCGAGAAAUUUUUUGAAGCAAAAAAAACUUUCAACAACGGAUCUCUUGGUUCUGGCAUCGAUGAAGAACGCAGC